GGCGGACGGGUGAGUAAUGCAUCGCUAAUGUACCCCUGGGUCUGGGAUAGCCGGCCGAAAGGCCGGGUAAUACCAGAUGACAUGUUCACCGGGCAUCCGGAGGACCUCAAAGGCGCAAGCCGCCGAGGGAGCAGGCGAUGUCGUAUCAGCUAGUUGGCGGGGUAACGGCCCACCAAGGCGACGACGCGUAGCUGGUCUGAGAGGACGGCCAGCCACAUCGGGACUGAGACACUGCCCGGACUCCUACGGGGGGCUGCAGUAACGAAUCUUCCGCAAUGCACGAAAGUGUGACGGAGCGACGCCGCGUGUGGGACGAAGUCCUUCGGGAUGUAAACCACUGUCAGGGGUAGGAAAGUUCUGAUCCACCCCAGAGGAAGGCACGGCUAACUCUGUGCCAGCAGCCGCGGUAAGACAGAGGUGCCGAGCGUUAGGCGGAAUCAUUGGGCUUAAAGCGCGUGUAGGCGGGCCGUUAAGUGCCCCGUGAAAUCCCACGGCUCAACCGUGGAACCGCGGGGCAUACUGGCGGCCUUGAGCGACCCAGGGGCGAGCGGAACAAGUGGUGGAGCGGUGAAAUGCGUAGAUAUCACUUGGAACGCCGACGGUGAAAACAGCUCGCUGGGGGUCUGCUGACGCUGAGACGCGAAAGCCAGGGGAGCGAACGGGAUUAGAUACCCCGGUAGUCC
rnacentral:rRNA from 1 species